rnacentral:rRNA from 1 species
GGGUCAGUAGGUUGGUCGUGCCACCGGUACGUACUGGUCUCACUGAUUCCUCCUUCCUGAAGAACCGUAAUGCCAUUAAUUUGGUGUUGCGGGGAAACAGGACUGUUGCUUUGAAAAAAUUAGAGUGUUUAGAGCAAGCUAACGCUUGAAUACAUUAGCAUGGAAUAAUGAAAUAGGACGAUCGAUCCUAUUUUGUUGGUUUCUAGGAUUGACGUA